rnacentral:lncRNA from 1 species
AUGAGUUUCCAACAAAGAUCAAAAUUAUAUGAACUUGAAACCAAGCCCGGUGAUAAGUGUGGGCAAGUAGGGCAAUGGAUCCAGGCCCAAAGUUCUUGAGGGCCCAGACUUUUUAAAAAAUAUACUAUAUACUAUAUGUUUUUCCUAUUGGGCCUUUAAGUUUAACCUAAUUAUUAUAAUCAGCCAUUCAGUCUUCAUAAUUGUGAUUGACGUAUAGAAUACGUCAGCCAUUCAGCCUUCAUAUUUGUGAUUGACGUAUAGAAUACGUUAGAGCGGGAAUCCGGACAGAUUAUACGAAGCGACGAUUGAGGAACAGGCAGCGCACACAGCAAUCAGAAAUCAAAGCUUCAAAUCCGGUCGGUUCACUGUUCAGCAGACAGCAGCGCAGCGGCCACGAAAUCGGUGAUUCGGAAUCGCGUUACAGGCCCAAAAUGUUUCGAGAUUUCUCGGAGACG